AACUAACGCUGGCGGCGCGUCUUAAACAUGCAAGUCGAACGGUAGUCCUUGAGCUUGCUUAGGGAUGAGAGUGGCGAACGGUGAGUAACACGUGGAUAAUCUGCCUCCGGGUUGGGGAUAACUGUCCGAAAGGAUAGCUAAUACCGAAUGAGAUGGCGGUUACAUAAGUAGCAGCCAUUAAAGGUGGGGACCGCAAGGCCUACUGCCUGGAGAUGAGUCCGCGGCUGAUUAGCUAGUUGUGGGUAACGGCCUACCAAGGCGACGAUCAGUAGCCGGCCUGAGAGGGUGAACGGCCACAUUGGGACUGAGAUACGGCCCAGACUCCUACGGGAGGCAGCAGUUAAGAAUCUUGCACAAUGGGCGCAAGCCUGAUGCAGCGACGCCGCGUGAAUGAUGAAGGCCUUCGGGUUGUAAAGUUCAGUAAGCAGGAAGAAGUAAGCAAGGGGUAAUAAGUUUCUUG
rnacentral:rRNA from 1 species